CAAACAAUGGGUCAGGAAAUGCGUUGUUUUUCUUCAAAACAAAAGCUGAUUGCCAUUACAUAAGUCACUUUAGCAUCAUGAGACUGCUGCUUGAUAAAUUCAGAAAUAAACCAAAAAACAAGACACGCAAAAAUAAAAAACAAAAUAAUGAUGCUCUCUCCACACUGGGAUAAAUAAAAACAAACAGAUCACAUCUAAUGUGGACAUAUCAGACGCCUUGUGAAACACUAAAGGAAAAAUUCAGUUUCGAGCUAUGGCACUUGCCACAUAGAUGUGAGGGGCCUUGCACUAAUAGUGAUAGUUACCACUGCAUUAAGAAAUUGAAAGCAUUUAUGCAGACAAGGAUGAUACUUUAUAUGUUUGGCUACCACUUCAAAUGCCUCCACUAAGUGUUACAAUGCUGCAUGCAGCCAUACUAAGGAUCUCGCAGCAACACCUGCAGGUAAAAAGCAAAAAGCAGUCAAAGUGCUGGUGUGUACUGGACACUAUGUUUGAAAACUUUUAGGCAAGAGGAGUGCAAGAAGCAGACAUAACAACUGCAUUUAUUUCCAUAAUUCCCCAUUUGAAUGGCCUUUUCUUUUUGCUUAGACAAUGCCUACGCCUAGCCACAGCAGCUCCCUCAUACAGACUUGGCAAGCCAAGAGGCCGUGGAGGCAAAUGCAGGCAGCCAGCACACCCCGAACAGCCACCUUGACUGCGGGUGUGUCACCCUAGUCACCAAGGAAACAUUUGAGGGAAAGCGACAGGCAAUGUGAACAGCCACUUCUCCAUGUAAACGAUACUCUUUCUCUCGGAUGACUCCUACGCCUCGCCACGCCAGCACACUUGUGCACAAAGAUGCCACGGAGGCACGUGCAGGUCAGAGGCAAGAAGCAGUGGCACUGGUGUCGACAUUCGCCCAAUUUCUUUUUCUUACACUGAGGCAGCCAGCACACCUCGAACAGCCACCUUAACUGCGGGUGUAUUAGUAGAUUCCUGUUGUACAUAUGCUCAUAAUAAACUUCAGUAAACUUGAACUUGAUAAUAAACUUGAAGGCAAACGGGA
rnacentral:lncRNA from 1 species